rnacentral:lncRNA from 1 species
GUUGGAACCUGAGACUUGGAAUUAAACACUUGCAGAGCUGUAAACAUGGGGAGCUUGUCAGAAAUGUGGAUGUCUGAUAUUACUGAUAUUACUUUUUUUUUUUUGCUUAACUGGUGCUUUAUUUUCACUAUCAAGUCCACAGAGAGAGAACAUCAGGACGUAUCCGUGGGAUUACUUGGAGGAACUCCUGACGCUUCAGCGUUCCUGCCUUGGUCAGGCAAAGCACGACGGCAGGUUGGGGGUCCUCAGCACAAGGGGAGGCACGUGCUCAUUCACUGCUCUUUCUGCACUGUGCCUUUAUUGAGCUUCCACUUUCUGAUCCACUGUUCAUUACGUGUACGUGAGCCUUUCAUGUCCGCCCAAGGCUUUCUGUAGGACUCCAUUCACUUCUGGGAAUGACUGCAUGGUUAUGUAGUCUGAAGUAGGAA